UACGGAGGAUGCGAGCGUUAUCCGGAUUUAUUGGGUUUAAAGGGUGCGUAGGCGGAGCGCCAAGUCAGCGGUAAAAAUUCGGGGCUCAACCCCGUCGUGCCGUUGAAACUGGCGCCCUUGAGUGGGCGAGAAGUAUGCGGAAUGCGUGGUGUAGCGGUGAAAUGCAUAGAUAUCACGCAGAACCCCGAUUGCGAAGGCAGCAUACCGGCGCCCGACUGACGCUGAAGCACGAAAGCGUGGGUAUCGAACAGG
rnacentral:rRNA from 1 species